rnacentral:lncRNA from 1 species
ACGAUCUACCAACAACACAUCCCUGUUUGACACCUGGGCUUUACCCUCUGAAUAUUAAAACCACGUCAUACAAUAACAAAACUAUCAGACAAUCACAUCAUUACAAUACUAAAUAUAAAAUCACUGUCGUUGACACACACACUCACUCACCAGUCACUGCUGAUAGCUAGUGUUAGAUGGAGAGAGUCAGUGAGAUGUCAUCACACAGACAGGACGUGAGGGGGGGGGCAUCAAACCUGCCAAGAUGGCCACCCAUUGGGGUUUGAGUCUUGUUGUUGAGUUUUGUAAAACAGGAAGUCACCCUGCUCCUGCCGUAUAUGGAAGUAUUUUACUUACAGAACAACAACAACAACAACAACAAUUAUAAUAAGAAGAAUAAAAAAUUAUAAAACAGAAUAAUGAUCAUGAUAAUGCCCCAGGAUAAUAAAAAGAGUUUGUUUCACAUUUCUAGAAUCAAAGACAACAAGCCUUUGCCUUGUAAUGGUUAGGAACCCCCACAGCCCUUCCAGAGCCUGCUGUUGACCUGUGGUUAGGAACCCCCACAGCCCCCCCAGAGCCUGCUGUUGACCUGUGGUUAGGAACCCCCACAGCCCCUCCAGAGCCUGCUGUUGACCUGUGGUUAGGAACCCCCACAGCCCUUCCACCCCCUCUACCAGAGCCUGCUGUUGACCUGUGGAUAGGAACCCCCACAGCCCUUCCACCCCCUCUACCAGAGCCUGCUGUUGACCUGUGGUUAGGAACCCCCACAGCCCUUCCACCCCCUCUACCAGAGCCUGCUGUUGACCUGUGGUUAGGAACCCCCACAGCUCUACCAGAGCCUGCUGUUGACCUGUGGUUAGGAACCCCCACAGCUCUACCAGAGUCUGCU